rnacentral:rRNA from 1 species
CGGGUGAGUAAUGUAUGGGGAUCUGCCUGAUGGCGGGGGAUAACUACUGGAAACGGUAGCUAAUACCGCAUAACGUCGCAAGACCAAAGAGGGGGACCUUCGGGCCUCUUGCCAUCGGAUGUGCCCAGAUGGGAUUAGCUAGUAGGUGGGGUAACGGCUCACCUAGGCGACGAUCCCUAGCUGGUCUGAGAGGAUGACCAGCCACACUGGAACUGAGACACGGCCCAG